GGGAGAGUUUUCUCCUUGGAUGGGGAACGAGGGGCUGAGAGCCUGAGACCGGGCGUACUCCAGAAUCCACACCCAGUCCCUGGCUGGAGGCAGCCGCUCUUUGCCUGAGCUACAGUCCUGAGGCUGAGCCAUUACCCUGAGUGACCCAUCCCUGAGAGACCAAGAGGCAGUGGGGCUGAGCCAUGCUUUAGAUGUCACCCCUCAGUCCCAGAAGGGAUACCCUGCAGGUCACCAAACAAGAGUCGAAUUGUUCUCUGUGAAAAAGUCAACCUCUUGAGCAUGAAAAAGCCCUAGCACUGGUGGUAGAAACCAGCUGAAGCAGGGGUGGCUAAGCCUUCUGUGAGGAGGAAAUUCUUUUUAUUUUCUAGAAUCUGCGAUUCCGGAGGAGACUGUGGAGGGAAGGCCUCCUCUUCUGAGAGUGGGGUGGUGAAAUAAGGAGCCUGUGAAGCCGAGGCUCUUCUCACUGGGAGCCCUGACUAAUCAAGAACAGCCAGGGCAGCAGCUCCGUCUGUGGCCAGCAGAAAUCUUUCUGAUGCCCCCUGGCUUAGAGGAAAGAGAAACUGUGGGAUUAUAGCUAUCCCAUAAAAAAAGCAAAAUUCAUCUUUUUCACUUUCAUCUGUGGGUCAGAAAAUAGACAGUGAGGGCUGAACGUCCUUCCACAAUGGGUUGGCCAGGAUAGCGUCUGGUGUCUAAGGGCCAGAGGCAGGUGAGGGGAGUGGAGGCUGAGAGCGGCUCUGAGGGAGGAGGGCCCCACUGUUGGCGGCUGCUUCCCCUCCUCGUAUUUUCUCCCUCUUCUCUCUGUUUCGAUCUACUAAUACUUCCGCGUUUCUGUUUCUCCUCCUAGCCUGGCUUUUCUACUCUUGGAGAGGCACUCAAAGAAGGCUCACAGCAGAUCUGCACAGGAAGCACAAAGCUCUGGUUACCACUGGAAGCCAUCUCAUCCCCAUAAACCAGCCUUAGGAUGCCACUGAUGCUGGAUGGCAGAAUGGAGUAACAGAGAGAAGUAAGUUGUUGAUGACACCAUUCACUGCUGAUUGUACCAUGUCUGGAAUCUGGUCUACAUCUUGAUUUCAGCUAUUUCCAGAUAUUUUAAUCGAAUGUAAGCCAAUGUGAAUCAUGUUUUUAUGACUUGCAUCAGUAAGCAUUGUAACUGAGAUGCAUAAGUUGCCAUUGAAGAAACUAUGACUAAACGGAUGUAAGAAUCAGUUAGCUAUAAAAAUGGAUGACAGACUGGGUGUGGUGGGUCAUGCCUGUAAUCUUAAUGCUUUUGGAGGCUGAGGUAGGAGGAUCACUUGAGGCCCAGAAUUCAAGGUUACAGUGAAUUUCUAUCGUGCCACUGUACUGCCGCCUGGGCCACAGAGCAAGACUCUGUCUCAAAAAGGAAAAAGAAAAGAAAGAAAUAAAAAGGAAAAGAGAAAGAAAUGGAUGACAGGUCAUAAGAGUUGUCACAUAAUGUUUUCUAAGCACUAGGCAGUGGUCUUCGUAUUCUAUGUACGUUAAUUUAUCAUCAUAAGAACUCAG
rnacentral:lncRNA from 1 species